rnacentral:lncRNA from 1 species
AGGAAACUUCAGGCAUACAUAAUAUUCAAAAUACAUUCCAUAUACACAUAAAUAAACUUCACCGAAUCGCCCGUGCCGUGGCACGGGUUACUACCUAGUAAAUAAUUUAUGUCAAAUAUAGAAUUUUAAAAAUUAUAAAAUCAGUUGUGUUAAGGAAUCAAAUAUGAUAAAAGAAUCAUGAAUCAAUCUUUUUCUCAUAUUUAAUUGGCUGUAAACACCUAUAUCUUCAUAUUUCUUUUCAUAUUGAUCGUUUCAUACUCUUCAUACACCUUCUCGUCAAUUUCAUUUUCGUUCUUUCAUGGUUAUUAUCAUCGUUACAUUCACCGUCCGCUUCUUCGCCAUACUAUUCUUCUUCCUCUUCUUUUCCUCAUCAUCUUCUUAACUUUUUUCCGCAUCCUCUCCAUCUUCUUCUAUGUAUAACAUUCAUUAUUAUGUGGUUAAAACAAAGAAAGAAAUAUAAAACCUUAACCAAAAACUAGCUUCAUAAGCCUAUGAAUUAACUACCCAAAAAAUCGUUUAUUUGACCUUCUGAUCUCAAAAUUCAAUUCCUUGCUACCAGAACUUUGUUCCAAGUUAUCAUAAUUACUCCUACCAAAUUUCAGAUGAUUUUCAAUGACAGUACGUUUAUUUGUUACAUGCAUGGAAAUUUGUUUGAUAUGAAACUUUAAUAACGAAAGGUAUAAAAAAUCAGAAAUUUUCUGGAAACAGGCCGAAGAAACCAGAGACCUUACCAUCACAUGUAGAUAAAUAACUUUCAUAAAGCUGUUUAAAUCUAUAUUCCACCAUUCAACCUCAAGACAUUAAUACCAGAAACCUCAUCAAGUUCAAAGCCAAACAUUUGGUAUUGAGAUAUGAUUGUCAAAGACUCAAAAUCGCCAUUAUCAGCACCCUGCUAAGAGAAAAAAGUUACUUUAAGUUAAUUUAGAAAGUAGUACUAUUUUUAAUGUAAUCACUUAGAUUUUGCUGACUAAAAUAGUGAACAUAUAUAAGUCUGUGAAUGCCCGUACAUACUAUGUCAAGU